AGGUUGGAAUAUGCUGCAACUUGAUGGAGUCAUUUGUACCAUUUGGGGGUUUCUUCCCUUAUGCGUAUGAAUCUAAUAUUCCAGUAAUGAAAUCGUAUUCCUUGGUUCCUCGCUGCCAGCUUUGUAAUGACAAAUAUGAGGAAGAACUUGCUAUAAUUCUGAAGGGAAGUGCACCUUCUUAUGUAGAUCAGAACCAUGCAAAAUUGCCUUUGUCGCUACAAAAUGUUGAUAAGGUCAGAAUGAAUAAUCAAUUGGAUGUCUCGAAGAUUAUGCUAGAGAUUUGGAUAAACGCCUGUGUGGUGAAAUAAGGAUCUGGUAAUGUAGAGUGCUAUAACCAUUGUCCUUCUUGCUCACAUCACAAAUGUUGCUCUGCAAUAACUUUGAUGACUACCAUGUCGGUACAAGAGAGCAUAUUACACUUUAGGAUACUGUGAUGGCACUGGAUACUCCACAUCACAAUUUGGAUUACAUGAGAGAUUUGGUGAUGGAGAUGCUUCUCAGAUUGGUCUGGAGCUUGACGAGUCUUCUGCUUCUUGCUUUGCUACACACAAGAAUUAUUAUUGGAGAAUAAUCUCACACUUCAGGAUGCUCAAGUUUUUUACAGAACAUAAUAUUUGUUGUUCACGCGCAUCCAACCUUAUCUGAAGUCCUCGAUGAGCUCUUCAAAUCUGCCAAGCUCAUCAAUGAAAAGCCUCAAGUGAUUCAAGAGUAAGCAUCAAUAAAGGCAAUUCCAAAUCAGCAAAUAAUUACCAAAAUGAAGAGGGUCUUGGGAGUGAAACUGAGAGGAAAGAAAUAAUUUGCCCCGUUCAAAAUUAGUAACUUAUGGAACUUUGACAUAUGCAUCAAAUGGUUCUAUUUUGAUUUUGAGCACCUUGAACUGAUGAUAGUGUAUAUGAAGUGUGGAGCUGGUUCUGUGUCUUUUUACAUGAGAUGAACUAAUUGCUUGUGUUA